AGUGAACGCUGGCGGUAGGCCUAACACAUGCAAGUCGAACGGCAGCACAGUAAGAGCUUGCUCUUACGGGUGGCGAGUGGCGGACGGGUGAGGAAUACAUCGGAAUCUACUUUUUCGUGGGGGAUAACGUAGGGAAACCUACGCUAAUACCGCAUACGCCCUACGGGUGAAAGCAGGGGAUCUUCGGACCUUGCGCGAUUGAAUGAGCCGCUGUUGGAUUUGUUAGUUGGCGGGGUAAAGGCCCACCAAGGCGAGGAUCCGUAGCUGGUGUGAGAGGAUGGUCGCCCACACUGGAACUGGGACACGGUCCAUGCUCCUACGGGAGGCAGCAGUGGGGAAUAUUGGACAAUGGUCGCAAGCCUUAUCCAGUCAUCCCGCGUGGGAGAAGAAGGCCUUCGGGUUGUAAAGACCUUUUGUUGGGAAAGAAAAGCAGCAGGUUAAUACCCCGCUGUUCUGACGGUACCCAAAGAAUAAGCACCGGCUAACUUCGUG
rnacentral:rRNA from 1 species